GGAACUCCCACUCCAGGGAAUAAAGGCAUUCCUCAGGUUUUUCACUGAUCAGAAACUUUGUCUCCGGUGUGAAUUACUUCUAGGGAAAGCGUGCACGCAUUAAUUAAUCAAUUUGGAAGGAGUAGAUAGACAAAUAAUCAAAGUUUUCUUUGAUCCAAAACAAUUUUGGCACCCCAGAUGGGACUGGAAGGUAUGUUAAUAAGGAAGCCGUAAAAUCCCAGGACCGGAGAGGAGAC